rnacentral:rRNA from 1 species
AUGAACGCUGGCGGCGUGCCUAAUACAUGCAAGUAGAACGCUGAAGGAAGGAGCUUGCUCUUUCCGGAUGAGUUGCGAACGGGUGAGUAACGCGUAGGUAACCUGCCUGGUAGCGGGGGAUAACUAUUGGAAACGAUAGCUAAUACCGCAUAACAGUAGAUGUUGCAUGAUAUCUACUUAAAAGGUGCAAUUGCACCACUACCAGAUGGACCUGCGUUGUAUUAGCUAGUUGGUGAGGUAACGGCUCACCAAGGCGACGAUACAUAGCCGACCUGAGAGGGUGAUCGGCCACACUGGGACUGAGACACGGCCCAGACUCCUACGGGAGGAAGCAGUAGGGAAUCUUCGGCAAUGGACGGAAGCCUGACCGAGCAACGCCGCGUGAGUGAAGAAGGUUUUCGGAUCGUAAAGCUCUGUUGUAAGAGAAGAACGAGUGUGAGAGUGGAAAGUUCACACUGUGACGGUAUCUUACCAGAAAGGGACGGCUAACUACGUG